GUGAACGCUGGCGGUAGGCCUAACCCAUGCCAGUCGUACGGCAGCACAGUAAGAGCUUGCUCUUACGGGUGGCGAGUGGCGGACGGGUGAGGAAUACAUCGGAAUCUACUUUUUCGUGGGGGAUAACGUAGGGAAACUUACGCUAAUACCGCAUACGACCUACGGGUGAAAGCAGGGGAUCUUCGGACCUUGCGCGAUUGAAUGAGCCGAUGUCGGAUUAGCUAGUUGGCGGGGUAAAGGCCCACCAAGGCGACGAUCCGUAGCUGGUCGGAGAGGAUGAUCAGCCACACUGGAACUGAGACACGGUCCAGACUCCUACGGGAGGCAGCAGUGGGGAAUAUUGGACAAUGGGCGCAAGCCUGAUCCAGACAUACCGCGUGGGUGAAGAAGGCCUUCGGGUUGUAAAGCCCUUUUGUUGGGAAAGAAAAGCAGCAGGUUAAUACCCCGCUGUUCUGACGGUACCCAAAGAAUAAGCACCGGCUAACUUCGUG
rnacentral:rRNA from 1 species